ACCAGACUCCUACGGGAGGCAGCAGUGGGGGAUAUUGCACAAUGGGGGGAACUCUGGUGCAGCGACGCCGCGUGGGUGAAGAAGCGCCUCGGCGCGUAAAGCCCUGUCAGCAGGGAAGAAAAUGACGGUACCUGAAGAAGAAGCCCCGGCUAACUACGUGCCAGCAGCCGCGGUAAUACGUAGGGGGCAAGCGUUAUCCGGAUUUACUGGGUGUAAAGGGGGCGCAGACGGCGAUGCAAGCCAGGAGUGAAAGCCCGGGGCCCAACCCCGGGACUGCUCUUGGAACUGCGUGGCUGGAGUGCAGGAGGGGCAGGCGGAAUUCCUGGUGUAGCGGUGAAAUGCGCAGAUAUCAGGAGGAACACCGGUGGCGAAGGCGGCCUGCUGGACUGCAACUGACGUUGAGGCCCGAAAGCGUGGGGAGCAAACAGGAUUAGAUACCCCAGUAUG
rnacentral:rRNA from 1 species